rnacentral:sRNA from 1 species
GGAUGUGAGUGUGACCUGGCUGCAACCUCUGUCACCCCAUUGGUCUCCAGGAUUGAUUUGGCUAGGCUGGCACUGUAGCUCAGUGGAAGAGGAUGACCAUCCACUAUAGAGGAGGACUGUUCUUUGGUCAAGGUAGCUGUGCUCCCCUGCUAGAACCUUCAAACAAGCUCUCAAAAAAUAGCCAACACACACACACACACACACACACACACACACACACACACACUAU